UGGUUCAAGGGGCAUUUUAGAGACUUUAUUUCUUCUGUUUUAACAUGAUUAAAUAUUCAUAAAAUUGAUUAAAUUUUUGAAAUUUAACUGAUAAUAUCAGUUGUGGAACUUAGUCAAUUUAUUUUAUUUUUUUUUUAAGAAAAAAAAAAUAAAUUCCUUGAAAAGAGGAUUUUACCACUUCAAACGCUAAUUUAUUUUUUUUAAACCUAUUUCCAAAACGUGUUACCAUGAUAAUCUGAUGAAGAAAUCGUGGGAAUAUUGAGGGAAUCAAAGGAUUGAAGAGAGAGAGUGUUCUUAUCGUUUUUUUUUUAAAGAGAAGAAAUUUUUGAGUUCUUGCACUUGGGAAAAAUCUGGGCAGUAAAGAGCAUUGUAGAAUCAUUCUAGGGGAGGAAAUAAACAUUUUGAGUGUGAGAAAUACAUUUAUAAAGCCUCGGAUUGUGAUUCACCAUUUUUAUCCAAGAAAAUGCAUAUUCUUGGAUAAUUUUGGAUUUAAGUGUGUUCAAGAGUGUAUGGUGUGUGUGGUUGGUGAUAAACAAGCUUAGGGGACUCCAAUAAUCGGUUUUGACGUGAAGAAAUGGGCUGAAAUGGUCUAGAGCAAGAAAAACUAAUUUUGAGCUCCAUUUUUGGCGGUACACCGGACUUGGAGAAGAAGACUUCGGAACAAGGGGUUACGGACAUCUUUUUGGGCUGGGGUCUAUUGAUUUGAAGUUCUGGACAUAAGGGGAUCAUUUUCCAAGCAAGAGAAGGAUUGGAAAGCAGCAAAAGUCAGCCAUAGAGUCGCCGUCGCCGGAGAAGAAGACAAAACCGGCGAUAUUCCCGGCGAACCCGAUCUGGGUGUUUACUGAGGAGCUAGUGGUCAUCGAGGUGACGCAGCGAGUGGUUCGAGACACGUCAGCGGAAAACGCACUGUGUAAGGUAAAGGCAAAGCAAAGCAGUGAGUGGUGCGGGCUCGAGGCAUGGACGAAACAUGUUAGAGGCUGGGCUCCAGUUAUUUUAUGUUUUUAGAAAUAAAUGUUAUGUUUUUAAAUUUUCAGACUUGAAUGGUUAUUUUCCUUAUGUUUUGUUAUUAAACCUAGCGUCCAACAUUUUUAUUUUUAAAUAAUGAGAUCUCAUUGCUGCUUAAAUUUUAAAUACAUAUGUUCUCUUAGUGUCUUAAAGUAUUUAUUGUUUAUUAUUUUUAAAUGGACUCCCUAAGUAACGUCUCGGGAAAUCGGGGCGUUACAGUAUGGUAUCAGAGAAAAACGGUCCUAAAGAAUCUGUGAUAAGCCCUAACAUGUAAAGUUCAUCGCCAAGGACGAGCUCGACUCACUGUACUGUAAGCGGUUAAAGAUUACUUAAGAAUUUUUGCUUUUUGACUAUGCACAUUUAUGUACUUAGUGUUCUCUUAUAAUGAUCUCUUACCGCAAUAAUUCCUUUUCAUUAUAAGUUAUUUACGUGUGUGGUUCAGGAAAUUGAGAAUGCUCCCUCGUAGAUCAGUCAGAGUAGGACGUGGUCGAGGUAGGGGGAGAGCAGCAAUGAAUGCAGCACAGCCCGAACCGCCACAAGGAUGGGAGGAACGUUUUGCGAGAAUGGAAGAGACCAUUCAAAGACAGAACGCAGAGAUCAAUCAACUGAGGCAGCAAGCUGGGCCACCUGUAAGGUCUGAAGCACCA